rnacentral:misc_RNA from 1 species
GCAUGUGUGUCAGUUGUUAUGCACGAAGCAGUUUAAAGAUUUGUUGAUUUAUUGUUGCAUAAAAAACUAAAUAAUAAGAUUUACAAUAAUGAAUAAACUUCUGUCAAUAACAAAUUUAUCAUAUACAGCGAAACAAUUGUUAGUUUCCGAGGUAAAUAAUUCAAAAUGUAUUCUUGCAGCAAUCUUAAGAAAUCUUCACAUAACCUCUUUCAAUAAUAAAGAGAUAAGAGAUAAAAAUACAAAAGUUAGAGUUGUUUCAAAUAAACAUAAUAUAGCUGAAGGAGAAACAGAUGGAACAGUACAUAAUUUGAAUCAGACAGGACUCUUUCCAGAUGAAAACACACCUAAUUGGAUUUUUAAAGGUAUACCAUAUAAGGAAUUGCCAAUUGUUAAUAUAAAUGCAACUCCUAACAAUACUCAUUUGAAUUUGACGGAUCAUAAAGGGAAGAUGUUAGCACUUCAUACUGCGGGUAUAGAAGGUUUCAAAAAUACUAGAAAAGGUACCAAUGUUGCUGCACAACAAGCAGCUGUUACUUUCAGUGAGGCUAUUCGCAAUAGAUCUGUACCGAUAGUCAGAGUACGUAUUCAAGGAUUAGGUGCUGGUAGAAUGGCUGCUUUGAAAGGUCUUCAAAUAGGAGGAAUAGAAAUUGUAUCGAUUACAGAUAGUACUAGGGUUUCAUGGAAUCCACGAAGACCGAGAAAGCCAAGGAGAAUAUAAUUACAUUCUAUUGAUAGUAAUUGAAAUAUUAUAUAUUUAUAUAUGUGGAUUGAAAUUUCUAAAUGCAACAUGACUUUAAAGUUACGUACUAUUUACAGUUCGAUGUAAACGAAUUAAGUUUUUCAAAUAAGUUGAGAAAAUAAUGAAACAACACAUUUGCAUCAUGACUAGGAUUUUUGUUUAAACAUCUGCGACAUUCAACUGACGAUUGAUUCGUGUCACGUUCAAAUGUUUACAGAUAGAAAACCAAAUGAUUUUUAUGCAGAAUAUUUUACGCUCGGUGAUAGCAGAAAGUCUUUGCUCGCAGUCUCGGAUGCAAAUGGGUUAAUAAAUGUUUACACGUUUAGGAAAAGAAAACAAUGAAUUUUGAUUUGAUUUGAUUUUAAAAAUAAUUACCCAAAGAAACGGUCUAUUGAUUUAAUAUAAAGUAAUGUGAGAGAUGCUUAUUUUUCAUAAGAGUGUAAC